UACAGAGGGUGCGAGCGUUAAUCGGAAUUACUGGGCGUAAAGCGUGCGCAGGCGGCUUUGUAAGACAGGUGUGAAAUCCCCGGGCUUAACCUGGGAACUGCGCUUGUGACUGCAAAGCUAGAGUACGGCAGAGGGGGGUGGAAUUCCACGUGUAGCAGUGAAAUGCGUAGAUAUGUGGAGGAACACCGAUGGCGAAGGCAGCCCCCUGGGCCUGUACUGACGCUCAUGCACGAAAGCGUGGGGAGCAAACAGG
rnacentral:rRNA from 1 species